rnacentral:tRNA from 1 species
GGUGAGGUGGCCGAGUGGUCGAAGGCGGCUCCCUGCUAAGGAGUUGUACGGUCAAAAGCUGUACCGUGGGUUCGAAUCCCACCCUCACCGCCA